AUUAAAGAAUUAGCCUUUUUUAUGGUUAAGUUAUAUUGUAAGUUUUUGAUGAUUAUUUUAAUCAAAAUAUUGAUAAAUAAUAGUUAAGGUAGUAUUGUUAUGAGAAAUCUUUUUAGAAAGAGCUAUAGGUGAGUACUGUGAAGGAUAAUUGAAAUAGUAUGAGAGUUUAAAUUGAGUAAAGAAAAAUUUAUUGUUUUUACCUUUUGUAUAAUGGUUAAGUAAGUUUGUGUGAAGAAAGUUUUAUUACCCGAAAUUAAGUGAGCUAAUGUAUUCUAUUUUUAGAGAAAUAAUAAAUUUUACUGUUGCAAUAGUAAGUUUUGAGGAUACAUUAGAUGUGAAAUGCUAAUCGUACUUAGUUAUAGCUGGUUUUUUGAGAAAAUGGUUUAAGCUUAGAAUAAAUUUAUGAGGGUAUGUCACUUUUUAGAGUAAGGAUGAAAUAUCAUAAUAGUUUAUUUUUAGACGAGUAGGGAUAAGCUUGUUCGUCAAGUAGGAAAAAGCUUUUAUAAUAAAUUAAAAAUAUAGUAUGUAAAUAAUGUGUAUUUUUUAAAAAGGUGAGUAGGAUUAAUAACAUCUAUCUUUUUAAAAAGCGUUAAAGUUUAUUUUUUAUUUGAAUACAUGGAAAAUUUUAUUGGAAGUUUUGAGGUUAUUAUGUAAGUAUCAAAGAUUUGUAUAAGUUUGUAAGUUAUAAUGCUUAAAUGAGUAGAGAAAUAUUUUUUGGGGAUUAGUCAGGCCUAACAUUGGAUGGAUGAAGUAUGAUUUUGUAAACGAGAAGAACAUUUUUUGUGGCUGUCUUCCAACUCAGGAAUUAAAUUAAAUAUAAAAAUAAGAAAAAGGAAUUCGGCAAAUGUAAAUCUCGCCUGUUUACCAAAAACAUUGCCCUUUGCAAAAUAAUUGAUGAAUAAAGGGUACUGCCUGCCCAGUGACGUUGUUAAACGGCCGCGGUAUUUUGACCGUGCAAAGGUAGCAUAAUCAUUUGCCUCUUAAAUAGAGGCUGGUAUGAAUGGCAAGACGGGAUUUAGCUGUCUCUUUCUUAGAUCUUGAAAUUGAUGUUUUUGUGAAGAAGCGGAAAUUAAUUCGUAGGACGAGAAGACCCUAUCGAGCUUUAAUGAGUAAUGGAUUCAGUAUUAUUAACCAGAUUGUGAAGCUAAUUAUAAUCUAUGUAUGGGUUGUUAGUUUUUAUUUUAUAAUUUGUUAGUGUUUGAAUUAGACAUUUUGAUUGGGGCAAUCAUGGAGAAGAAAAUCCUCCAUUAGUGAUAAUAAGAAAAGACGUUUUUAGUGUGUAUUUUAUGCAGUUAAGUGAUCCACUUGGAGAGAGUGAUCAAAGGAAUAAGUUACCGUAGGGAUAACAGCGUAAUUUUUUUAGAGAGUUCAUAUUGAUAAAAAAGUUUGCGACCUCGAUGUUGGAUCGGGAUUUCCAGGAGAUGCAGCAGUUUCCAAGGGUUGGUCUGUUCGACCAUUAAAAUCCUACGUGAUCUGAGUUCAGACCGGUGCGAGCCAGGUCAGUUUCUAUCCACGAAAGUUAUUCACUUUUUUUAGUACGAAAGGACCAGAAAAGUAGUAUCAAUGUUUUAAAAUAAAUACUGAGGGUAUUUUUGGAAAAAGAUAAAAAUAAGAUAAUUUUUUAGAAAAAU
rnacentral:rRNA from 1 species